rnacentral:lncRNA from 1 species
AGGAAUCGCUCCAAUGUCCAUUGCUCCCUAUCGCAUGGCAUUUAAAGAGCUUUAAAAAUUGAAAAUCCAACUUCAAGAGCUUCUAGAUUGUGGGUUUAUUAAACCUAGUGUUUCUCUAUGAGGAGCUUCGGUCUUGUUUGUGAAAAAAAAAGAUGGCUCCCUAUAAUUGUACAUAGAUUAUUAGCAGUUGAAUAAACUGGCCGUCAAAA